GACGAACGCUGGCGGCGUGCUUAACACAUGCAAGUCGAACGGAAAGGCCCUGCAUUUGUGUGGUGUUCGAAUGGCGAACGGGUGAGUAACAAGUGAGUAACCUGCCCUUGACUUUGGGAUAACUUCAGGAAACUGGGGCUAAUAACGGAUAGGAGCUCCUCCUGCCUGGUGGGGGGUGGCAAGUUUCGGCGGUUGGGGAUGGACUCGCGGCUUACCAUCUUGUUGGUGGGGUAGUGGCUUACCAAGGCUUUGACUGGUAGCCGGCCUGAGAGGGUGACCGGGCCCAUUGGGACUGAGAGACGGACCAGAGUCGUACGGGGGACAGCAGGGGGAAGUAUUAUGCAAUCGGCGGAAGCCUAAUGCAGCAGCGCCGCGGUUGGGAAGACGGCCUUCGGGGUAUAAACCGCGUACGCCUAUGACGAAGCGUGAUUGACGUUAAUGGGUAAAGAAGCACCGGCUAACUACGUG
rnacentral:rRNA from 1 species